AGGCUAGGGACAUCUGGCUGCCUGCAGCCUGGAACCUCAGAGCGCGUGGCACAACCACUGGGCGGGGAAUGCAGCCAGGGCAGUUCCCACCGGCUCCCUGCUCAGGGUGGGACCCCUUGCUUGGCGGGGGCCACUGGAAUGACACCUGGCCAAAUAUUAAUUACUGUUGCUUCCGAGGUCCCACCAGUCACAGCGGUGGCGAGCCCUGCCCAGGAAGUCCAAAUAAUCGGCAUCGCUGGUUGAGAAAUCUAAGGAAAUUGCCCGAAGUCUCAACCUGGCAAGAGACAAGGCUGGGACACUUUCCACUAAUGGCAGAGCAUAGGUGAGGCCUCACCUCCUGGGUGUGUCUGCUCCCUCCACCGAAGGCUGCAUCAGAAAGUCUUCACCCAGCUGUCAGAGGUGGAGCUCCUGCACCCUUGUCUUCCUAGAGUACAUACUCUACUCCUCCCCCAGGCACGAGCACACACAGGUCGUAGGAAGUG
rnacentral:lncRNA from 1 species